rnacentral:lncRNA from 1 species
UGACUUAAUUUUAUUUCAUUUAUUUCAUGUGUAUGGGUGUUUUGCCUAUUUGUAUAUUAUAUAAAUUACGUGUGUACAGUGCCUACGGGAACCGGAAGAGAGCAUCAGAUCUCCUGGGACUCAAGUUACCAACAGUUGUGAACCACCCGGUGGACCCUGGGAAUUGGACCCCCGUCCUCUGGAAGAUCACCUGGUGCUUUUAAGUCCGAACCACCCUGGUCCGUCGGUUGGUCGGUCUGCCUGCCUUCCGUUGUUUACUGUCUGUCUGUCUGUCGGUCUGUCUGUCUUUCUGUCCGUCUAUAUCUGGUCUUUCGAGACAGAAUCUCUGUGUAAUCGUUGCUGUCCCGGAAUUCGCUCUGUAUACACUGGCCUCAGACUCAGAGCUUUGCCUACCUCUGAGCGCUGAGAUAAAAGGCGUGGGAUCCCGCCAGCCCCUUACUUU